AUGGCGGAGGACGGCGUGCCGUUGGCCGAGUCCGAGUGGCUGCGUCGGUGGUGGCGGCGGGACUCUGGCCCGCUCGAACACCGGCCGGCUGCACUGGAACUCUAUGCAAAAACUCUUACCUGCCCUUCAAAAUCUGACGAGAGUAAAGGUUGGAGAUGGGCAGAUGGCUCGAGGACUUCUUUCUGGCAUGACCGUUGGCUAGGUAUUCAGCAACUUGCAAACCUAUUCCCGGCACUCUACUCGCACUCAACAAGCGGUCAUGCAAAUGUCAAAGAAGUGCUUAGCAGGGGAAUCUUAUCGUUUUUGGUACCAAGACUAUCGCAAGCAGCCCAAGCUGAUCUUCAUAAUUUAGAGAAUAUGCUUGCAGCUUGCUUUCUGAAUGAGGAACCUGACAUCAGGCAAAAUGAU
rnacentral:lncRNA from 1 species